rnacentral:rRNA from 1 species
CGUUACAGGUUCUCAGUGUGCUUCUGGCAAAAC